rnacentral:rRNA from 1 species
UGGGGAAUCUUGGACAAUGGGGGCAACCCUGAUCCAGCCAUGCCGCGUGAGUGAUGAAGGCCUUAGGGUCGUAAAGCUCUUUCGCCUGUGAAGAUAAUGACGGUAGCAGGUAAAGAAACCCCGGCUAACUCCGUGCCAGCAGCCGCGGUAAUACGGAGGGGGUUAGCGUUGUUCGGAAUUACUGGGCGUAAAGCGCACGUAGGCGGACCAGAAAGUUGGGGGUGAAAUCCCGGGGGCUCAACCCCGGAACUGCCUCCAAAACUAUUGGUCUAGAGUUCGAGAGAGGUGAGUGGAAUUCCAAGUGUAGAGGUGAAAUUCGUAGAUAUUAGGUGGAACACCAGUGGCGAAGGCGCCUAACUGGUCCGGUACUGACGCUGAGGAACGAAAGCGUGGGGAGCAAACAGGAUUAGAUACCCUGGUAGUCCACGCCGUAAAACGAUGAGUGCUAGAUGUUGGGAUUUUCGGAUUUCAGUGUCGCAGCUAACGCAUUAAG